UGGAUAAGGUCUUUGCGCACAUUGCUUGUCGCUCCAUGAGAGGUCGCCGAGUGGACAUAGAACCGGUUCGGUUGAGUUGACGCUGGCACCGACGCGAACCACCGGUCGAAAACAGCGAACUCGUUUGCCAACGCUGUGUAAACCGGUAACCGACUCGGUUUGAACCCGCUCAUGACGGUUCUCGACUUGUUCUCGGUCAUGCUCUCCGCUUGUUGUGCGAACCCGUUCAUUGGAGCCGGUUUGGCGGAGGUUUCGUUCGAGCCGAAUAUCUGUUCUCGGAUCGCUUGGAAGGAGUGGCCUGGGUCCCAGUCAACGAAAAAAGCAUCGUCGGAGACGAAGAUUUCGGGUGAUUUUGGGUCGGAGGCAGAGAUACAGUUGGAUUCGGUUCCGGUUAGACCAUCGAUAUCGGGUCGGGUAGAUUUGAGCCAGCCGAGAACGUGGUCAAAGGAUCGAUUCUCCAUGACUAGGAUCACCAGGGUUUUGAUGGGUCCUUUGAUUUUGGUUUUGUGCCUUCUCCGUAAAUUCUCAAAGUCUAGGGACUGCGAAGAAACUAUUAAGUACAAAAAUAACAAAAAGGUAAGAGGCAUCCGCCGGCAAGCCAUUUCCGGCCACCGGAAACAGAAAUUUCAACCUCUCUUUCUUUCUCUCGCUAUAUCUCUUCUUUUUAAUCUGUAAGAAAGUAUAUUUGUAUGGCAAGAGAGGCAAGCAAGUUUUGUUCUGGAAGAAGAACUGAAGAAGAGGGUAUAUACCUUUGAGGCAGAAUCAUUCGUGUCUGAAGGAUAAUUAUUU
rnacentral:misc_RNA from 1 species